UUAUGUAGUUUAAAAAAAACGAUGAACUUUCUAUUCGUUAUUCCUCGUAGUUGGGGCAUAGA
rnacentral:tRNA from 1 species